GGGCUGUAGCAAAUCAGUUUUUAAUUGAAAACGAGCCCAGCAAUGAUGCCUGGGCGCUGUUACCUGCGUGGGGAUGCUGGAGCAGGCUGCCACCAACAGCUUUGCUCUCCAAAUACACAAGGGAUUAUUCUUCCACCAGCACAUCUCCCCAGGGAAAGCCAUGUGCAGGGAAUCACAUCCCCUCCUCCAUCCCUUCAAGGGAGGAAAGCAGGGAGAGAAGCAUCCUGCUGUCCUGCUACCUCCCAGCGAGAGCAGGAGGUGGAGGAGAAGGACGCUGUUUGAAUCCUGUUUGGUUCAGAGACACAUGGAGAAACCACAAUUUCCUCGAAACUUUGCAUCUGCUGGAGCUCGGCGGCAGCUCUGACAAGCAGGGGUUGUGCUCUAUUGGAUCCAUACGUUGUUCUGUGCAAUCCGAGCCAAGAUCCCACCGUGGGAUUUGUGGGGCCUCCUCAGGAAAAAGCUCCAGAGCUCAAGAGGUUCCCAGGCAGCUACAAAUGGGCUGCAUCCUCCUUCCUGCCCCAGGUGUUCCUCCUUUCAUUCCCACUUCCCAGGUAGAUCUGGUGGGGACCUGCUGGCUCUGGUGUUGUUCUCAACAGUCCAUGGAUUCAGCUGUGCGUCCCAAUCCACCCAGCAUCCUCCUUGUAUCUGGAGAAAAGCAUCCCCAGAUGUGCCCUCAGCCCCCACAGCUUUCCCUCACUCUUCACUUUCAUGUCAGCUCUUCCCAUUUUUUCCUUACUAGUCCCAGUUCCCUUCUCUCAUUAGGGAGAAGGAAUGGAUGUGACCCCACAUGGCUUAAGAGCACCAGAGUGGCUUGAAAAUGCUUUGGUUUUGGAAAAGGAGUGGGAAGCAGAAGUUCACUGGAGGAGAGAAACUCAAGGUCCUGCCAAUCAUCAACCCAGAUCCCACCAGCACUGGGAAGGGCAGGAACCACGGAGAGGCUGGAGGAGUGAGCACAGCUCCUGCCAGCCUUGUCCAGCUGUAUUCUGCCAGAUUCUUGGCCUUGGGGUCCAUCUGAUGGGUGGACACCACUCCUGGGAAAGCAUCUUGAUUUGAAAGACAGGUGUCUGCCAAGGAAGGCGGGAACCACCC
rnacentral:lncRNA from 1 species